UCUGUCUUUUCAGAUGCCCAACCGAAUACUUCGGCAAACGUUGCGAGAACAAAAGGCCCGACAUCUCUUGGCAGGCAUGCGAUGAACUGGAGGGACCCUGUUAAGCCGAACCACGUGGACUUUUGCGCUCAGAAAUGGAUCUCAUGCUUAGAUUUAGUUUACACAAGGAUGGCCAAUAAAAUUCUGAAUUUGUUGCAAUCAA
rnacentral:sRNA from 1 species